rnacentral:rRNA from 1 species
UACGUAGGGUGCGAGCGUUGUCCGGAAUUAUUGGGCGUAAAGGGCUCGUAGGCGGUUUGUCGCGUCGGGAGUGAAAACCAGGUGCUUAACACCUGGCUUGCUUUCGAUACGGGCAGACUAGAGGUAUUCAGGGGAGAACGGAAUUCCUGGUGUAGCGGUGAAAUGCGCAGAUAUCGGGAGGAACACCGGUGGCGAAGGCGGGUCUCCGGGUAGUAACUGACGCUGAGGAACGAAAGCGUGGGUAGCGAACAGG